UACAGAGGUCCCGAGCGUUGUUCGGAUUCACUGGGCGUAAAGGGUGCGCAGGUGGGUUGGCAAGUUCGAUGUGAAAGCCCCGGGCUUAACCCGGGAAUGGCAUUGGAUACUGCUGAUCUGGAGGAUCGGAGGGGGGACUGGAAUUCUUGGUGUAGCAGUGAAAUGCGUAGAUAUCAAGAGGAACACCAGUGGCGAAAGCGAGUCCCUGGACGAUACCUGACACUGAGGCACGAAAGCCAAGGGAGCAAACAGG
rnacentral:rRNA from 1 species